UGUAGUCAUAUGCUUGUCUCAAAGAUUAAGCCAUGCAUGUCUAAGUAUAAGCAAUUAUACAGCGAAACUGCGAAUGGCUCAUUAUAUAAGUUAUCGUUUAUUUGAUAGUACCUUACUACUUGGAUAACCGUGGUAAUUCUAGAGCUAAUACAUGCUAAAAAUCCCGACUUCGGAAGGGAUGUAUUUAUUAGAUUAAAAACCAAUGCCCUUCGGGGCUCUCUGGUGAUUCAUGAUAACUUCUCGAAUCGCACGGCCUUGCGCCGGCGAUGGUUCAUUCAAAUUUCUUCCCUAUCAACUUUCGAUGUUUGGGUAUUGGCCAAACAUGGUUGCAACGGGUAACGGGGA
rnacentral:rRNA from 1 species